GACGAACGCUGGCGGCGUGCUUAACACAUGCAAGUCGAGCGGAAAGGCUCCUUCGGGGGUACUCGAGCGGCGAACGGGUGAGUAACACGUGAGUAAUCUGCCCUUGGCUUCGGGAUAGCCACCGGAAACGGUGAUUAAUACCGGAUACGACAACUUCUCGCAUGGGAUGGUUGUGGAAAGUUUUUUCGGCCAGGGAUGUGCUCGCGGCCUAUCAGCUUGAUGGUGAGGUAAUGGCUCACCAUGGCUUCGACGGGUAGCCGGCCUGAGAGGGUGACCGGUCACACUGGGACUGAGACACGGCCCAGACUCCUACGGGAGGCAGCAGUGGGGAAUAUUGGACAAUGGGCGGAAGCCUGAUCCAGCAACGCCGCGUGAGGGAUGACGGCCUUCGGGUUGUAAACCUCUUUCAGUAGGGACGAAGCGCAAGUGACGGUACCUACUAAAGAAGCACCGGCCAACUACGUGCCAGCCGCCGCCGUAACAC
rnacentral:rRNA from 1 species